GCCUCCCGGGACUCGCGCGUCCCCGGGAGGACACCGUCGGUGGCUGUGGCCUCGGCUGGCCGGCGCGAGCGGGCGUCAGAACUGCAUUCUAGCCGGGUGGGGUGGCACACGCCUUUAAUCCUAGCACUUGGGAGGAAGAGCUAGGAAGGAUCGCCGAGAGUUCGAGGCCACCCUGAGACUACAUAGUGGAUUCCAGGUUUGAGGUGAUGCGAGUGGACUCUUGCACCUUGCACGCGUUUCCCAGCUAGGCCUUGGCGGCCCGGCCCUCCUGGAAACGAUGGAAACUUCCCAGACAGAUGGCGUGUUUCUGAUUCUGCAGAUUCUGCAGCGGACAGUCCCACCUCCCCACACUCCCUGGUGGGCUCCCACUGCCCAUGGAGAGGAUGCUCCCCCCAGGUUUGGCCAGGUGACAUUUUAGGUGCCCAUCUGGACUUAUUGCAGAGGUGGCAGCUUGGUGCUGCCCAAGGACCAGGAGAGGUGUUUCCAUCCUGCCAGGAAGCAGCUAGACACUGUACUCCCAAGAUGAUCCCACUAUGUGCAGAAACACCAUGGAAGCUGUCGUAUCAACAACAUUCUAGACCCACCUGUCCCAGGAGCUUGGACAUUCCUUUCUGGGACUAGUUUGGUACAGAAAGACCCAGCAGUUCAUCCCUCAUCCAUUGGGGUCCUUCUCACUGACAUCAGCUUGAAGAAAGAUGAGAACAUCGGAGGGAAAUCCUUGAAGGCAACCCAGGCCAUGGAGGCAGUGACCCUCUGGACAUGAACAGCUGGGGUCUCUGUUCUCCCUCAGGUCUGCUCUUGGUGAGCUACUGCUAGGAGACUGGCUUGGCCUUUGUGUUUGAGAGGGAAAUUCCAAGCCACUGGCUUAUCUGACUUUCUUCCUCAGGUUUUUGUGGCGGUGAUGGCGGACGCUGGCACAACAGAGACAGAGCAGCGCCGCUCCGCAGUGCCUCGCCAGCCCCCGCUGCCCUUGUCUUUAGCCCGUCCCAGGGGGUCUUUUCACUGUGGUGGAGGCAGAGGAAAAGCUCUGGGGUCUGGAGACAUGGGGACCAGAGGUGGCGACCCUCCAGUUGCCACUGUCACACCUGCAGAGCCACACGAUGCUGUGGACAAAAAGUCUGGUCUUCCUCAUCUCAGCCAGGUCAUAUAUGGCCAGAUUCCAUGUCUUCAUGUGUAUUCCUACUUAUUGUUUUAGAUGUAAAAUAGCCUGACAUUUGCUUUUCUUUAUAGUUUUUAUUUUUAUUUUUUUGAGGUAGGGUCUCACUCAGAUCAGGCUAUCUGGAAUUCACUAUAUGGUUUCAGGCUGGCCUCAGACUCGCAGCAAUCCUCCUGCCUCUGCCUCUCGAGUACUGGGAUUAAAGGUGUGUACCACUACACCUGGCUUAAGCCUGACAUUUUCUGAGAUGUGCCUCAUUGUCCUCUUACCCUCCUCAAUAAAUUAUGAAACAUGCCCUA